CCAGUAGUUAACAUGUUGUUAUUAUAUCUUUUAAAAGCAUCACCAAGAGAAGUAAAAGCUGAAGAGAAAUCACCAAUCUCCAUUAAUGUGAAGACAGUCAAAAAAGAACCUGAGGAUAGACAACAGGCUUCCAAAAGCCCUUACAAUGGUGUAAGAAAAGACAGCAAGAGAAGUAGAAAUAGCAGAAGUGCAAGUCGAUCGAGGUCAAGAACACGAUCACGUUCUAGAUCACAUACUCCAAGAAGACAGUAAGUAAAUGUUUUCUUAGGGAAGCAGUCUUAUUUGGAGUUUUUAAAGGUUAUUGCUUUUUCUUUAAAAAUUGAACAUAGAUUAUUUUCAAAGUUAGGUUAGAAUUAGUCUUUUAGUAUGAGGCAAAUUAUGAGAAAUGAGUUUGGAGAUGUUCUGGACAUACAGUAUCUUAAUGGCAUUCUGUUAUAUUUUCUCCCAUGUUUUUUGGAGAAGUGUAGGAGCUACCCACAAAGUGCUUGAGGGCCAUAGUAUUGUUCAUAAUGUGAAAACUUCUUUUUUUUUUUUUUUAAUUUCAGUUAGAAAAUGUGUUUCAUUAACCCCUUAUUAAUAACCAAUAAU
rnacentral:sRNA from 1 species